rnacentral:lncRNA from 1 species
AUCUUUGGUCAAUGCUUGUUGAUUAUCUCAUUUGAUUUCCAUUAAUGCACUUUAUUAUUCAUCUUCUUCUUCUUCUUCUUCUUCUUCUUCUUUUUUGAUCAAUGAGUUAAAGAUUGAUGGUUAGCCUUGAUACAUGGGAGGUUUAACCUUCCUUGAUUCAAAUCUAAUUCAACUUGAUCAUGGAUCAAGUGAAUGGCUUUGCAUUAAGGAUAGGUU